rnacentral:rRNA from 1 species
UACGAAGGGGGCAAGCGUUGUUCGGAAUUACUGGGCGUAAAGGGCGCGUAGGCGCCGAUCAAGUCAGGCGUGAAAUUCCCGGGCUCAACCUGGGGGCUGCGCUUGAUACUGAUUGGCUUGAAUGCGGGAGAGGAUAGUGGAAUUCCCAGUGUAGAGGUGAAAUUCGUAGAUAUUGGGAAGAACACCAGUGGCGAAGGCGGCUAUCUGGCCCGUUAUUGACGCUGAGGCGCGAAAGCGUGGGGAGCAAACAGGG